ACCAGGACAGCAGCUCCUGCUGCAGACAGCGCCUCCUGCACAAACCGCACACAAUCGUCCAGAAAGCUCAGCAGGUCAGAGGCGGCAUCGUCCAGCGCCCGCACAAACAUCGUCUGCCGGUCGCCGAGAGGCGGCGGCUCCUUGGAGUCCACGGUCAGCACAUGGGAGAUACCAGAGUCCGGAUCGACUGUCGCCGCAUCUCCGGCCGUCCCGAGGAACAGGCCACGCCGCAGCGGGAUCAUGGCGGCCUGUCUGACGUUACCACGCACGGCAACUUCCGGUUGGGGGGAUGGGGCCAGGCGGCGGACGGGCAAUGUCACAAAGUAGAAAGAAGCAGAGCAGAAAGUUCCCUGUAUCAUGGGGCUAACGGUGACAAAAGGUUCGCCAUCCCUUAUUGCUGAGAACAUAUGCCCCUUUACAACUCCAAGCUCACCUUCAUCUGCCCCGGACCUGGCAAUGACAGUCACCACGGAAUUCAUGCCUUCUACUCCACCUCACCUUUUCCCUUUUCUGAUUUUCUGCUUUUACAAGAAGAAUUGCUGCCUGUCCAGGCACAACAGCCCCAGGAGGAGAGACAGAGAGAGCAACUCCACUUCACUGAUGAAGAGGCCCAAUCACUUGAUAUAACAUUCACAGCCACCAGCUCAGAUACUUGUACUGAGCAUAUCUCUAGGGCUAGCAUGGAGUUGUGAUCUGCACUUGGUGGGUCUCCAGGGCUUCUGUCACACGAAGGAAAUGGAUGGUCUGUGUGCCAGUUCGCUGGAAGGUGAGAUUGCAGACAUGUUUUGCUAAAGAGAACCCAGAUGAGAACUUCAGUGGAGCUACAGACAAGAGACAGCUGAUGGGUAUGCACAGAUGUAGGGGAUACUGAUAUUGUGUGGCUCAUAUUUGGAGGUUCGGCAUCAUACCAUCUGGUAGAGAUAGCAAGAACUGCAGAUGCUAGAGUCAGAGAUAACAAAGUGUGGAGCUGGAGGAACACAGCAGGCCAAGCAGCUUCAGAGGAACAGGAAAGCUGACGCACCUGGUAGACUGUUUGACAAUGUAGUAGCACCAGAUCAGUUCCUUCUGUGGCGAUAGAAGUGCAUUGCCCCACACUAAGAGGACAUUUGGCUUCUACCAUGUUGUGUGCAAUGGCAUUAUAGAUCUGAAUUUCAUGUCCCAUUAUACUACCCUUGAAUUUCUGAGGCUUCUCCUUGAUAGCCACUCCUGACCUAAAACUAUAUCCCGUAUGUAAACACCUGCUCCGGUGAGGAAAUACAAGAUAUUGCUCUUUCUGGAAGAUGCAGGGUGAGGCAUUCUGGCAUUCUAGCAUUCUCAACACUGGAUGUUCGAUGACCAUCAAUGAGAUGCCCAAACACAGGGCACUCUGUUAAAACACAGCCUACACUGGGCCCUGGGCUGGGACAUUCCUCCAAAUGUGUCAGUUCUGGCUCAGAGUUCGUAGCUCUUUUGCCAGUGAAUCACAAGGUUCUGGGUUCAUGUCCCAGUCCAUGGCCAUGUACUUAAAAAAACCUGAGCUAAUAUUUCAGUGCAGUAGUGAAGCAGCAUUGUUUUGUCAGAGGUGACACCUCUCAAGCAAGACAUUAAACUGAGGUCCAGCUCGAAGAAGAGCGAGAGAGUUAUCCACAGUGUCUGGUCAAUAAUUAACUAUCAAGUAACAUCACAAAACUGAUUCUCAGAUCAUUAUUACAUUGUUAACCACAUCUAAUUGAUUAAAAAAAAGUUAGCAGCAAUUAGAUGUUAGUCUGUGAUGCCAAAUGACCAAAGUAGAGGAAAGAUGCAAGGACUCUUGGAACAAUAUAAAAGUAAUAAGCCUACUGAGUUUUGGUCUUCAUCCGUCAGGAUCUUUCAGCUAUGGAGUAUGUUGGCUGCUGCUGAAGUGCACUGACCAGAAAGUCACUGGAGCCUGCAGCAGAAUUCCAGUUUGCACCUCUGGUUCCCAACGCAGGUAAUAGACAGCCAUCAACACCUAGAGAACUAUAUUCCAAAACAACACUGUUUUUUUGAAAACUAAAAAGGAGAAUUGUCGAACACUGGAUUCUCAAACGUACCUUCUAAGCCUUCAGUACUGGAAAAAGACAAAUCAGAAUAAUUUAAUAGUAACUGACCUUGCAGAGUGUUUUUCAUAGACAUUGUUCAAAAACAAAAUUGGAAUUAAGUUUAUUGCAACAAUCUACAUUUCUGAACACACGUGGACUCAGCUUCUUAGACAAUGACCAGCUUCACAUCUUCAAUUAACAGUUUAAAUGUUUAUGGUGCAAAUGUUACAGGUUUUCAUUAUCAGCGGUAUUCUCUGAGGUGUGGUGAUGCCUGGUAAUAGAUGGACGGAAUGCACACUCGUUGCUGAAUUUUACACAGGAGGGGAUGGACCUGCUCACUAACUGAAAAAUCAAACACAAACUCAUUUCUGUCAGCCCUAGAAACAUAGCUCAGAAGUUAAUUUUCUGAUGUCGUGACUUUUGCCCCAACAAGGGAGAAAACAAUCAAGCUGAUGGCCGGCAACUCCAUAUCCCCAACAGCACCACUAGGAGCAGUGGAUUCUGCUGGGACUGCAGUUACGCUUCAAUAUCACAGGAAUGUCACUGGAAACCAGGUUAAAGGCAUGUGAAGCAGCUUCUCUGGGGCCAGUCAGACAGGCUAUCAUAAGGUGGGGUGGAGGUCAGUGGGCAGGAAGCAGUGAUGGGAGAUCAACACCUACCACAUUGCUGGUAAAUACCACUGGUAUUAUGUAGGUGAUGAGCUUGAUGCUGUGCUGCCAUCCCCAUUGCUGCCCACUCCCUCACCAUCUCAUCUGACUUUAGAGCUCUCUUGCCUCCCGCCUGCCCUCCAGGCUGGAAAAGUCCAAUGUGUGUUUGUAUAAGUGCUAGCAGAUCUCCAGUGCCAUCGAUCAUUGUGAGCUAUGAUAUAUUUUGUUCAUCCUAAGUAAUGCAUGAUGGUUACUUUCCUUUGCCUUUGCAAUGAACAAUUUAUCAUUCUCAAUGGUUCCAACCUGAACUCAAUUCUCAUUACGCUAUCUGCUCUGAAUUCAGAAUCUUGCUGCCUACUUUAAAUCUCUCCUUCCUUACAUCACAUAGACAUGUUCAAGGCCAUCCAAUCAAUCUAUUUGUCUUCCAUUCAAUAUCUGCAAAGACAGACUCUACUACUUCACUUUCUGUCUUUGUCAGGGUAUCAGCAGAUCAUCUAAAUCAAUAUAACCUGGAAAUAAAACAAAGCUUAAAAUGUUUACUGGGGACCAAAGUGUACAGAGAGUCCGUACUUUGUCUAUUUUCUUCAAAGCUUGUGUUCAAAGCCAGUCUGUAGGUUUGGGAUGACAUUCUCCACUUUAUUUGCUCUACAUUAUUAUCCCUGAGAUUUUGGUAGAAGGUAAGGUACAGACAUGGAUAGAGGAUUGGCUUACUGGCAGAGGGCUGAAAAUAGGGAUAAAGAGGUCUUUUCGAGGAUGUCAGCCGGUGACUAGUGGAGUUCCGCAGGGGUCAGUGUUGGGACCACACUAUUCACAUUAUACAUUAAGGAGGACAUUGUUGCUAAGUUUGCAGAUGACACAAAGGUAAGUGGAGGGACAGGUAGUGUUGAGGAAGCAGAGAGGCUGCAAAAGGACUUGGACAUUAUAGGCCAGUGGGCAAAGAAGUGGCAGAUUGAGUACAAUGUGGGAAAGUGUGAGGUUAUACAUUUUGGUAGGAAGGAAAAAAGGCAUAGACUAUUUUCUAAAUGGGGAAAGGCUUCAGAAAGCUGAAGCGCAACAUGACUUGGGAGUCCUAGUUUAGGAUUCUAAGGUUAACAUGCAGGUUCAGUUAGCAGUAAGAAAGGUAAAUGCAAUACUAGCAUUCAUUUCAAGAGGGCUAGAAUACAAGAGCAAGGAUGUAUUGCUGAGGCUGUAUAAGGCUGUACUCAGACUGGAAUAUUGUGAGCAGUUUGGGUCCUGUAUCUAAGGAAAUAUAUGCUGGCAUUGAAGGAAGUUUACAAGAAUGAUCUCGGGGAUGAAGGGCUUGUCAUGGGAGUGGUUCAGCACUCUGGGUCUGUACUUGAUGUUUAAAAGGAUGGGGGCAUAGGGGUAUCUCAUUGAAGCUAACAGAAAUACUGAGACUCCUGGACAGAGUGGAUGUGGAGAAGAUGUUUCCACUAGCAGGAGACACUAGAACCCGGGAGCACAGCCUCAAAGUGCAGGGAUGACCCUUUACAACUGAGAUGAGAAGGAAUUUCUUCAGCCGGAGGGUGGUGACCCUGUGGAACUCAUUGCCGCAGAGUACUAUGGAGGCCAAGUCAAUGAGUGUCUUUAAGACAGAGUUGGACAGCUUCUUAAGAAGAUCAGGGAUUACAGGGAGAAGGGAGGAGAAUGGGAUUGAGAAACAUCAGCCAUGAUCAAAUGGUGCAGCAGAAUUAAUGGGCUGAAUGGCCUAAUUCUGUUCCUUUACCUUAUGGUCUAUGGUCUAAGACACUAGUAAACCAAAUGUUUUUUCAUAUGACAAUUGACAGUGAUAUCAUCAUAUCAGAUGACAUUAAUGGCACUUUUCCUAAGGAAAAACUGUAUGGAUAAUUUAUAUGGGUGAGGUAUUAUACUGGUAAAGUAAGUAGUGCUCUUCCAAAGCUAGAGAGAGGGCGUUUUUUUUUAGGGACUGUAGAAGAAGCUGUACAUUGAAGCCACUAUACAGUACGCAUCAAGGGUACCUGGCACUGACAAUGGCCAAAUGAAAUGAAGAAUCAUUUAAUUUCUCAGAUCACCAUUCCCACUUUGUACAGCAGAAAAAUAAAUCUUUUUCAAAAUGUAAAAUAAAUUGAAGCUACCUGUCA